AUUGAACGCUGGCGGCAGGCCUAACACAUGCAAGUCGAGCGGAUGAAGGGAGCUUGCUCCUGGAUUCAGCGGCGGACGGGUGAGUAAUGCCUAGGAAUCUGCCUGGUAGUGGGGGAUAACGUCCGGAAACGGGCGCUAAUACCGCAUACGUCCUGAGGGAGAAAGUGGGGGAUCUUCGGACCUCACGCUAUCAGAUGAGCCUAGGUCGGAUUAGUUAGUUGGUGGGGUAAAGGCCUAUCAAGGCGACGAUCCGUAACUGGUCUGAGAGGAUGAUCAGUCACACUGGAACUGAGACACGGUCCAGGCUCCUACGGGAGGCAGCAGUGGGGAAUAUUGGACAAUGGGCGAAAGCCUGAUCCAGCCAUGCCGCGUGUGUGAAGAAGGUCUUCGGAUUGUAAAGCACUUUAAGUUGGGAGGAAGGGCAGUAAGUUAAUACCUUGCUGUUUUGACGUUACCAACAGAAUAAGCACCGGCUAACUUCGUG
rnacentral:rRNA from 1 species